UUGAACUGGAGAAUGACUGUAAGGAAAAGGGUUAAGCACCUUCCUUCCUCUUUGGCUGCAGCCUGUCCCCAGCAAGAUUGGAGAUGUGAUAUAUACGUGUGUCGGGAAGAAUCACAGCACUCUGCUUAAUGGAUAAGUUGAGUUAGAGAGGUGACUAGUCAUUGAAGCUUGGAAGUUCUGUUUUGCAAGUUUGGAGGUGGGAAAUACCUGGCAAGAUCUUAGAAGGUGGAGGCCAUCUAAACAGUGUUGACGGCAUUCAGUCAAGGGGCCAAAAGAAAAGGAGAAUAGAACUCCAUCUGCACCUUUUAAAAAAAGAUUUCUGUACUACAAUUCCCAUCAGGGCAGAUUUCCUCAUUCCUUUUUGACAAAUUGCAGCUACCCAAGUUCUUGGGUUUGCACAACUAUUAAAAGUACAGUGGCCCAGUU